rnacentral:sRNA from 1 species
GCCAGGCGUGGUGGCGUGGGCCUGUAAUCCCAGCGGCUCAGGAGGCUGAGGCAGGAGGAUUGUGAGUUCAAAGCCAGCCUAAGCAAUGGUGAGGUGCUAGGCAACUCAAUGAGACCCUGUCUGUA